UGUAUCAUGUGCAUGGAGAAGACAAGCUCUC
rnacentral:piRNA from 1 species